UCACCUCAAGCUUGGCCAAUAAACACAUUAGCAGUCUCGCCGAUCAUAAAUUCAUAAUGAAAUAUGAGGCUAACCCAGGCGAAACCAAAGCUAAACCCAAAGCCACAGCCGGAGUCACAGCCACAGCCGAAAGCGAAACAGAUACAACUGCCGAGGUCAGACCGAGACCAAAUGAAAACCAGGGAGUUAGCAGGACCAAAAUAUAACUAUAAUAAAUACGCAACAAAGUAGCAAACAGACUCCAGUCAGAGCUGAGGGCGAUUUAUCCCACUGUGCUGGCCCGCCUCUUUAUGACAGUACUGUUCCGGUCUGACUUGUUGGACUUCCCAACUACUGAGAAUACGAAGCGAUAAAUACCAGACCAGAGUAACAGUUGCACGGAGAGCAGGAGCAGCACCAGGACAUGUGUCCCGCCAUCAAUAAUGCUUAAUUUAAUUCGAGCCGGGCUUACUUACGGUACUCCCACGCUCUGCCGGCGACUUCCGCUAUCUCUUUAAGUCGAGGGGAGCCAGUGCGUCCGGCACAUGAUUAUUAUUAGUUAUGAUGAUGUAUCCCUUUUAAUGGUUCCGAACGGGGAGUGUGGACGUGACCAGCGGAGUGUGAGUCGGGUCAGAGUUGGGUGCGUGUGUCCGGGCUGGCGAAUAUUAAUAAUUGUUUUUUUUUUGCUGCCUGUUUUUCGGGGUCUGCGGAACACGCUAAAAAUUAAUUAAACGUUCUAGGCGGAGGA